rnacentral:lncRNA from 1 species
GGGGCCUGUGCUGUGGGAGGGGUGCUUCUCUUCUGCGUGUCACAGAACAAACACUAGUCUUAACACAUCCUUUGUUGCACUUUAAAGUGACAUUAAUUUAGCUUCCAUUUGCUGCAGCUGGAAUGUAGUCUUGAGGCAGAAGAAUUAAAAAAUUUCUGUAUGCAAUCAUUUUCCCCUCAAAUGAGCCUCAUGCCUUUGUAAACAUACCUCGCUGAGGAAGGAACUGGGGAAGCCACUCUC